GGCACUGUGGCGGAGUGGUUAACGCGUUGGUCUCGAAAAUCAAUUCCUUCGGGAGCCUGAGUUCAAAUCUCAGCGGUGUCG